AGAGUUUGAUCCUGGCUCAGAACGAACGCUGGCGGCAUGCCUAACACAUGCAAGUCGAACGAGACCCUCGGGUUCGCCUGGUGGUCUAGUGGCGCACGGGUGAGUAGCGCGUGGGAACCUGCCCUGUUGUGGGGGAUAACCGGGGGAAACUCCGGCUAAUACCGCAUGCGCCCCGGGGUAACUCGGGGGAAAGAUUUAUCGCAGCAGGAGGGGCCCGCGUCGGAUUAGCUAGUUGGUGGGGUAACGGCCCACCAAGGCGAUGAUCCGUAGCUGGUCUGAGAGGAUGAUCAGCCACACUGGGACUGAGACAUGGCCCAGACUCCUACGGGAGGCAGCAGUGGGGAAUAUUGGACAAUGGGGGCAACCCUGAUCCAGCAAUGCCGCGUGAGUGAGGAAGGCCUUAGGGUUGUAAAGCUCUUUCGCGCGCGACGAUGAUGACGGUAGCGCGAGAAGAAGCCCCGGCUAACUUCGUGCCAGCAGCCGCGGUAAUACGAAGGGGGCGAGCGUUGUUCGGAUUUACCGGGCGUAAAGGGCGCGU
rnacentral:rRNA from 1 species